GAUGGAGGGAUGGAGGGAUGGAUGAUGGAUGGACAGACUGACGGACAGAUGGUGCUGCCCAGGGAGCCCUGACCAUCCAGCGGGAGCCACAGGAGUGAAAGGACAUCUCUGCGCCCCUUGGGGUUGGUUUCCUUCCGAAAGGGGCUUGGGAAGGGCUGUGGGAGCUGGCGGAGAAGUCCCUGGGAGCAGCAUCCAUCCCUUUUCCAUGUGCACGUCCGCUGGGGAUGGGGGCUGCAUCUCAGAGCCAAAUCCUGGGAUAGGAUCUGGCAUUCCCGGCCGAUCCCCAGCCAGGCUUUGGAUCACGAUCCUAUCCCGGCUUCCAGCUCCGCGUUCCGGAGUCGGAGGGUUCCUCCCCCCUGCCAGGACCUGUGGUGGAUGUGGGAGCACCCGGAGCAGCCUCUUCCCAGAUCUCCCCCAGAGAGGACGGGGCAGGGCCUGGACUCGGAGCCGGGCAGCUGCGGGGAAUUCCAGCUGGGAUUUUGGCCGUGCAAAUCCGUCAUCAGUGCGGGAUCCCAGCUCCCCUCGUCCCCGGACAAGCCGGGCCGGUGCAUCGCUGACCCUGUCCGAGAUUCCAGCCUCUCCUGGCUGUUAUCCCCUCUCGAAUCCCUGUUUUUCGCGGCGGGGAGGGAAGCAGAGAGCGGAGCUCUCCGCAGGGCUCCGGGGACGAUUCCCUGGAUGCGAGGGCGGAGGAGGCACAUCCAGGAGCCCCCGCGCCGUGUUUGCCGGCGAGGAGUGGCCUCGGUGCCGCGAUUCCCAACGCUCCCGAUGCUGCCCGGACGCGGCCGCGGCUGGGCCGGGGAUGGCGGCGCUGCCGAUCCCGUCCCGGCCGAUCCCGCCCCGGCCGAUCCCGUCCCCAGCGGGAACGGCGGGAUGAGGCGGGACAGCAGCCGGCUCCUGGGGGCCCCGCGCCCGGGCUACGGGACGCUGCAGCCGGACACGGACCCGUCCCGCAUGGAGGUCACGGGCUACCAGACCAGGACGUGGCGGGUGCUGCUGUGCCACGCGGGCUCCGUGCUGAGCGCGGGGCUGCUCCUGCUGCUCUUCCACUGGAAGCCGAGCCUGGAAGUGCAGGCCAAGUGCAAACCCUGCACCCUGGGCCAGGCGGACUGGCUCCUCAUCAGGGACCGCUUCGGGCGGUGCUUCACCGCCAAGGUGCUGACGGAGCCGCUGGGCGAGGGCAGCCUGGAGCAGCAGCCCGGGCCGCGGCCGGAGGACCGCCGGAGCAGCAUCGCCGUCGGCGUGGCGGACGAGGAGGAGAGCCGCGACACCGUCCGGCUGCACGACAAGGAGGAGAAGAACGUCCUGAGGUAUUACCUCUUCCAGGGAAUGCGCUACGUCUGGCUGGAGCGGCGGCAGGCCUUCUGCAGAGUCAGCGUGCUGGACGAGGGCCGGAGCUGCGCGGAGCUGCACCUCUGCCGGGCCGGGCUGGAGCUGCAGGAGCACAGCACCAGAAGGAGGAUCUACGGCCCCAACCUCAUCGAGGUGCCCGUCAAGUCCUACGCCCGGCUCCUGGUGGAGGAGGUGCUCAAUCCCUUCUACAUCUUCCAAGUGCUCAGCAUGGUGCUCUGGGUGUGCGAUGCCUACUACUACUACGCCGCCUGCAUCUUCCUCAUCUCCACCUUCUCCCUGGGGCUGUCCCUCUACGAGACGCGCAAGCAAAGCACCACCCUGCGGAACAUGGCCAGGAUGUCGGUGGGGGUCCGGGUCCGGCGGCCCAGCGGAGAGGAGCUGGUGCUGAGCUCGGCGGAGCUGGUGCCGGGCGACUGCAUCCGGCUGCCCGCGGACGGGGCGCUGCUGCUGCCCUGCGACGCCGCGCUGCUGACCGGCGAGUGCAUGGUCAACGAGAGCCUGCUGACCGGGGAGAGCGUGCCGGUGAUGAAGACGCCGCUGCCGGCGGGUGGGCAGGCGGCCGGAGCCGCGUACUGCCCCGAGGAGCACCGGCGGCACACGCUGUUCUGCGGGACACAGGUCAUCCAGGCCAGGGCCUACGCGGGCACGGACGUGCUGGCCGUGGUCACCCGCACAGGGUUCUGCACGGCCAAGGGGGACCUCAUCAGCUCCAUCCUUUACCCCAAACCCGUGAGCUUCAAGUUCUACAAGGACGCUGUGAAGUUCGUGAUGUUCCUGGCUGUCCUGGCGCUCAUCGGCACCGUGUACAGCAUCCUCAUCCUGGUUAGGAACCAGGUCCCCGUGGGACAAAUCAUCAUCCGCGCCCUGGACCUGGUCACCGUCAUCGUGCCGCCGGCGCUGCCGGCCGCCAUGACCGUGGGCACCAUCUACGCCCAGAACCGGCUGAAGAAGCAGGGCAUCUUCUGCAUCAGCCCGCCCCGCAUCAACCUGGCCGGGAAGCUGCGCCUGGUCUGCUUCGACAAGACGGGGACGCUGACCGAGGAGGGGCUGGACGUGUGGGGUGUGGUGCCCCUGGAGGGACAGCGCUUCCUGCCCAUGGUGCGUGAGCCCCGCUGCCUGCCCGCCGGGGCCCUGCUCUACGCGCUGGCCGCGUGCCACGCCGUGUCGCCGCUGCGGGGACAGCUCGUCGGGGACCCCGUGGACCUCAAGAUGCUGGAAUCCACCGGCUGGCGCCUGGAGAUGACGGAAGAGGAGGAAGGGGAGCUCCCGGCGUCCCAGCAGUUCGGGAUGAAGGUCUUGGCUGUGGUGAGACCUCCGCCGGAGGAGGAGCAGCCGCGGGACAGGAAGCACCAGGCCCCCGUGGGGAUCCUGCGGCGUUUCCCGUUCUCCUCCUCCUUCCAGAGGAUGAGCGUCCUGGUGAAGCUGCCCGGGGAAGCCUCGGCCCACGCCUACGUCAAGGGCGCCCCGGAGAUGGUGGCCAGUCUGUGCAGGAAGGAAACUGUGCCCCCGGAUUUCUCCCGGAUGCUCCGGCUCUACACCACCGACGGGUUCCGGGUGCUGGCCCUGGCCUGCAAAGCCCUGGGCACAGUGGCCACCUUCGAGGAGGCCCUGCAGCUCCCCAGGGACUCCGUGGAGAGCGGCCUGAGCUUCCUGGGCUUCCUGGUGAUGAAGAACGUCCUGAAGCCGGAGUCGGCUCCGGUGAUCCACCUGCUGAGGAGCGCCAACAUCCGCCCCGUCAUGGUGACAGGGGACAACAUGCUGACAGCCAUGAACGUGGCACGCGGGUGCCGCAUGGUGGAGCCCAGGGAGGGCGUGAUCUUCGUCACGGCCUCGCCGCCCGGCCACGGCAAACCCGCCGCCCUCAAGUUCGUCCUGGCCGAGCAUUCCCAGGGCGAGGAGCAGCCCGAGGGCCUGCAGCAGCAGCAGCGCGACGGCUCCUCCCUCCCGCCCCGGCACUGCCACUUCGCCCUCAACGGGAAAUCCUUCCAGGUGGUCUGUGAGCACUUCGCCGACCUCCUGCCCAGGCUACUGCGUGGGGAUGUGCGGGGAUGGUGCCAACGACUGCGGGGCGCUGCGGGCGGCCGACGUGGGCAUCUCCCUGUCCGAGGCCGAGGCGUCCGUGGCCUCGCCCUUCACCUCCCGCGUGGCCACCAUCGAGUGCGUGCCCAGGGUCAUCCGGGAGGGCCGGUGCUCCUUGGUCACCUCCUUCGGGGUCUUCAAGUACAUGGCCCUGUACAGCCUGGUGCAGUUCGUGUCCGUGCUGCUGCUCUACACCAUCAACACCAACCUGAGCGAUUUCCAGUUCCUCUUCUUCGACCUGGUCAUCACCACCACGGUGGCCGUGCUGAUGGGGCGCACGGGGCCGGCGCCGGCGCUGGGCGUGCGGCGCCCGCAGGGGGCCCUGAUCAGCGGCCUGGUGCUGGGCAGCCUCGUGCUGCAGACGGCGCUGCUCGUCGCCGUGCAGGUCCUCAGCUACUUCGUCACCGUCUCGCAGAGCUGGUUCGUGCCCCUGAACAGCACGGUGACGGCGCCCCAGAACCUGCCCAACUACGAGAACACCGUCCUGUUCUGCGUCAGCGGCUUCCAGUACCUCAUCCUGGCCGUGGCCAUGUCCAAGGGACACCCCUUCCGAGAGCCGCUCUACACCAACGUGCUCUUCCUGCUCGUGCUCGUCCUGCUCUUCGGCCUGAUGAUCUGGCUGACCCUGUACCCGCUGGGCUUCCCCAAAUCCCUGCUGAAGCUCCAGGCCAUCGAGGAUUUCAACUUCAAGCUGCUCCUCCUGGGCAUCGCCGCCCUCAACUUCUUCGCCGCCUUCGUGCUGGAGACCGCCCUGGAUCACGGCUUGCUCGGCUGCUUCCGAAGGCUGCGCCGGAAAAAAGCCUCCAAGAAGCUUUUCAAGAGGCUGGAGAAGGAGCUGAGCCAGCAGCAGCCGGGCUGGCCGCCCCUGGACCAGCCGCUGUUCGCCACGCCCAGGAUGUCCCUCGCCGUGAGAUAGCAGUGCCAGCCGUGCCCGCCUGCCCCCGCCUCAGACACUUCCUUAAUUUAUUGAUCCCAGAAAAAGCAGGGAUGUGGCAGGCGGGCGGGAUCCCUCGGCAUCGCGGACAUGAAUCCCAUGGCCACGGUGCUCCCAUGGCCACACUGAUCCCAUGGCCACAGUGGUCCCACAGCUACAGCCCAUGGCCACGGUGCUCCCAUGGCCACACUGAUCCCAUGGCCACAGUGGUCCCAUGGCCACGGUGGUCCCAUGGCUACGGCCCAUGGCCACACUGAUCCCACGGCCAUGCUGACCCCAUGGCCAUGGUGGUCCCAUGGCUAUGGCCCAUGGCCACACUGAUCCCACGGCCACACUGAUCCCAUGGCCACGGUGGUCCCAUGACCACGGUGGUCCCAUGGCUACGGCCCAUGGCCACACUGAUCCCACGCCCACACUGAUCCCACGCCCAUACUGAUCCCAUGGCCACGGUGGUCCCAUGGCUACAGCCCAUGGCCACGCUGACCCCAUGGCCAUGGUGCUCCCACGGCCACUCUGACCCCAUGGCCAUGCUGAUCCCAUGGCCAUGGUGGUCCCAUGGCUACGGCCCAUGGCCACGCUGACCCCAUGGCCAUGGUGGUCCUAUGGCCAUGCUGAUCCCACGGCGACACUGAUCCAUCCCGUGGCCACGCUGACCCCAUGGCCAUGGUGGUCCCACAGCCACUCUGGCCCCAUGGACACGGUGCUCCCACAGCCACGCUGACCCUGUGGCCGCGCUGACCCUGUGGCCAUGGUGCUCCCGCAGCCACGCUGACCCCGUGGCCACAGCCCAGAGGAGCAGGAACGGGGCAGAAGAUCCAGAGGAGGAAGAGGAGCAUCCAGCCCGGCCCUUCCCGCAGGGUUUCUCCCGCUCCCGCCGGCCACCGGGGCUGCUGUGGCCUCUCGUGGCCGGCCCAGCCGCCGGGCAGGGGUCCCCGCUGUCCCCGGCGCCCCCGGCUCUGUGUCACUGUGAAGCCCCUCCCCGUGCCCCCGUCCCCUCUAGAUGUGUAGGGAGUUUACAGUCCCCGUUCCCGGCUUGCCAACGAUGCUGCUCCAUCCCCAGCGCGCCCCAGGGCCCUUCUCCGCUCGGAAUGCUCGGGCAGAGCUCCUCUGCUCUGGGAUGGGGCCUCUCUAGCAUUACAGACCCCACAAAUUCUCUAUUUUUUAACUCUCCUCCCACGCCCCGGCGUGCGGGAGCCGUCGGGUUCCGGACGGGGCUAUCACGGGCCUUGUCUAAUAAAUUAACAUUUAUUUUCCUG